ensembl:ncRNA F54D12.18 ncRNA
AAUUUGGGUCUGCUAGACUACAAACUACAAACUUCGAUUUAGCAGAUCAAAUUGAAAAAUUGUCUGCUAGACUACAAACUACAGAAAAAUAGUUAGCAGACCCACCGAAUUUCCAAAAAUUUUGGUCUGCUAAACUACAAACUACAA